rnacentral:rRNA from 1 species
GAUGAACGCUGGCGGCGUGCUUAACACAUGCAAGUCGAACGGAAAGGCCACAGCUUGCUGUGGUACUCGAGUGGCGAACGGGUGAGUAACACGUGGGUGAUCUGCCUGUACUUCGGGAUAAGCUUGGGAAACUGGGUCUAAUACCGGAUAGGAAUCACAUGUGGGUGUGCGGUUGGAAAGCUUUUGCGGUAUGGGAUGAGCUCGCGGCCUAUCAGCUUGUUGGUGGGGUAAUGGCCUACCAAGGCGUCGACGGGUAGCCGGCCUGAGAGGGUGUACGGCCACAUUGGGACUGAGAUACGGCCCAGACUCCUACGGGAGGCAGCAGUGGGGAAUAUUGCACAAUGGGCGCAAGCCUGAUGCAGCGACGCCGCGUGGGGGAUGACGGCCUUCGGGUUGUAAACUCCUUUCGUCAGGGACGAAGCGAAAGUGACGGUACCUGGAUAAGAAGCACCGGCUAACUACGUG